GAAGCGGCAACAGCUCAAAUUUGAAAUCUGGCGCAAGCCCGAGUUGUAAUUUGUAGAGGAUGCUUCUGGGCAGCGGCCGGUCUAAGUUCCUUGGAACAGGACGUCACAGAGGGUGAGAAUCCCGUACGUGACCGGCGCGCACCCUCCACGUAGCUCCUUCGACGAGUCGAGUUGUUUGGGAAUGCAGCUCUAAAUGGGAGGUAAAUUUCUUCUAAAGCUAAAUACCGGCCAGAGACCGAUAGCGCACAAGUAGAGUGAUCGAAAGAUGAAAAGCACUUUGGAAAGAGAGUUAAAAAGCACGUGAAAUUGUUGAAAGGGAAGCGCUUGCAACCAGACUCCGCGGCGGUGUUCCGCCGGUCUUCUGACCGGUCCACUCGCCGCCGCGGGGCCAACAUCGUCUGGGGCCGCCGGAUAAGACCGCAGGAAUGUGGCUCCCUCGGGAGUGUUAUAGCCUGCGGUGAUGCGGCGCGCCUCGGGCGAGGUCCGCGCUUCGGCAAGGAUGUUGGCGUAAUGGUUGCCAGCGGCCCGUCUUGAAACACGGACCAAGGAGUCUAACAUCUAUGCGAGUGUUCGGGUGUCAAACCCCUACGCGUAAUGAAAGUGAACGGAGGUGGGAGCUUCGGCGCACCAUCGACCGAUCCUGAUGUCCUCGGAUGGAUUUGAGUAAGAGCAUAGCUGUUGGGACCCGAAAGAUGGUGAACUAUGCCUGAAUAGGGUGAAGCCAGAGGAAACUCUGGUGGA
rnacentral:rRNA from 1 species